rnacentral:rRNA from 1 species
AGCAGCCGCCACGGGAACACGUAGGUGGCAAGCGUUGUCCGGAAUUAUUGGGCGUAAAGCGCGCGCAGGCGGAUAGGUCAGUCUGUCUUAAAAGUUCGGGGCUUAACCCCGUGAUGGGAUGGAAACUGCCAAUCUAGAGUAUCGGAGAGGAAAGUGGAAUUCCUAGUGUAGCGGUGAAAUGCGUAGAUAUUAGGAAGAACACCAGUGGCGAAGGCGACUUUCUGGACGAAAACUGACGCUGAGGCGCGAAAGCCAGGGGAGCGAACGGGAUUAGAUACCCCAGUAGUCCCUGUCUCUUAUACA